GCCCAGACUCCUACGGGAGGCAGCAGUGAGGAAUAUUGGUCAAUGGGCGGGAGCCUGAACCAGCCAAGUCGCGUGAGGGAUGACGGCCCUAUGGGUUGUAAACCUCUUUUGCCGGGGAGCAAAGUGCCGCACGUGUGCGGUUUGGAGAGUACCCGGAGAAAAAGCAUCGGCUAACUCCGUGCCAGCAGCCGCGGUAAUACGUAGGGGGCGAGCGUUAUCCGGAUUCAUUGGGCGUAAAGCGCGCGUAGGCGGCCGCCUAAGCGGGACCUCUAACCCCGGGGCUCAACCCCGGGCCGGGUCCCGGACUGGGCGGCUCGAGUGCGGUAGAGGAGAGCGGAAUUCCCGGUGUAGCGGUGGAAUGCGCAGAUAUCGGGAAGAACACCGAUGGCGAAGGCAGCUCUCUGGGCCGUCACUGACGCUGAGGCGCGAAAGCUGGGGGAGCGAACAGGAUUAGAUACCCCUGUAAAU
rnacentral:rRNA from 1 species